rnacentral:rRNA from 1 species
CCUACGGGAGGCAGCAGUGAGGAAUAUUGGUCAAUGGGCGAGAGCCUGAACCAGCCAAGUCGCGUGAGGGAGUACUGCCCUAUGGGUUGUAAACCUCUUUUGUCGGGGAGCAAAAGCCGGACGUGUCCGGCUGUGAGCGUACCCGAAGAAAAAGCAUCGGCUAACUCCGUGCCAGCAGCCGCGGUAAUACGGAGGAUGCGAGCGUUAUCCGGAUUUAUUGGGUUUAAAGGGUGCGCAGGCGGAUUUUUAAGUCAGCGGUAAAAUCGUGGGGAUCAACCCCAUCCAGCCGUUGAAACUGGGGAUCUAGAGUGUGCGAGAGGGAUGCGGAAUGCGUGGUGUAGCGGUGAAAUGCAUAGAUAUCACGCAGAACCCCGAUUGCGAAGGCAGCAUACCGGUGCACAACUGACGCGCAGGCACGAAAGCGUGGGUAUCGAACAGGAUUAGAUACCCCGGUAGUC